rnacentral:lncRNA from 1 species
GAGGCAGCACAAGGGUUCAUCCCAUGCACAGACCCAGAAGCAACCUAUGGAACCCCCGGGACUCGCUCCAGCAACAGAGGAGGCAUCAGAGGAAGGGACUCCCUGUCGCCUUUGACACCUGCCCUGGGCUGCAGCAGCUUUGCUGCCGAUUAUCUGUCUGGGCGCUUACCACCGAGCAAUUACAGGACCCUGAUAAAGUGGUAGAAUAUUUGAAAGGAAAAUGCUGUGGCUAUUCCAGAGAGGCACAGCUCACUGCAUUGUGCUGGGCCUUGGCCAGUAUCUACCGAGCACUGCUCAAUGUUGUGCAGCAUCCUCAGGGGGAGGACAUGGAAACCAGGCUGACAGACACUGUGGCUGCUCCAACCCCUGCGACAGACACUGUGGCUGCUCCGACCCCUGCAACCAGUGCUGUGGCUGCUCCGACCCCUGCAACCAAUGCUGUGGCUGCUCCAACCCCUGCAGUAGACACUGUGGCUGCUCCAACCCCUGCAACCAGUGCUGUGGCUGCUCCAGCCCCUGCAGCAGGUGCUGCGGCUGCCCCAACCCCAGUGGCAGUCACUGCAACUGAACCAGAAAAUCAGCCUGUGCCCGUGUCAGUCGCCCCUAUCCAGAAGAAGAAAUGCAACAAGAAAUCAGUUCGCUUAGUGAGGGAUGACAAUGAAGCAGGGUCAUCACGAGAACAAGAGGAAGAGGCAGAAUCAGAGAUAAUCACUCGAUCCCUGUCCCUGAGUGAGCUGCGGGACAUGCGGAAAGAUUUCGGCCGACUUCCAGGCGAGCACAUUGUCACCUGGCUGCUCCGGUGCUGGGAUAACGGAGCCAGUAGCUCGGAAUUGGAGGGUAGGGAGGCCAGGCAGCUGGGAUCUCAGUCUAGAGAGGCAGGCAUUGACAAGGCAAUUGGGGAGAAGACACAGGUCCUCAGCCUCUGGAGGCGACUCCUGUCAGGUGUGAGGGAAAGGUACCCCUUCAGUGAAGAUGUUAUAUGCCAUCCGAGCAAGUGGACCACCAUGGAGAGAGGUAUCCAGUACCUGAGAGAACUAGCCGUGCGGGAGAUGAUUUAUUGUGACCUGGACAAUGCACAGUCACCCACAGAUCCUGAUGAGGUCCAGUGCACAAGGCCCAUGUGGCGGAAGUUUGUACGGAGCGCCCCAUCGUCAUAUGCCAACUCAUUGGCAGUGAUGGAAUGGAGAGGCGAAGAGGGACCAACGGUGGAUGAGGUGGCUGCCCGACUUCGGCAAUAUGAAGAAAGUCUCUCUUCUCCCCUUGUCUCAGCUGUGGAGAAACUGUCCCGGAAGGUCCAGCAACUUGAAGAGAAUAUAUCCUCCCCGCCUGUACGAGCCAGUAUCUCAGCUGUUAGAAGCAGACACUUCUCCACUCAAGAUAGAGAAUACAGGGAGUACACACCACGAAACACCCUGUGGUUCUGCCUGCGUGACCACGGAGAGGACAUGAGGAAGUGGGAUCGACAACCUCCUUCAGUCCUAAGGGCACGGUUAUAUGAACUGUAAGUAAGAACCACCGGAAGAUGGGAUCUCGNNNN